GUAGCGGCGGGACGGGGUGGGAGCAACGCGUGGGUAACCUGCCUCAUACAGGGGGAUAACAGUUGGAAACGGCUGCUAAUACCGCAUAAGCGCACAGUACCGCAUGGUACGGUGUGAAAAACUCCGGUGGUAUGAGAUGGACCCGCGUCUGAUUAGGUAGUUGGUGGGGUAACGGCCUACCAAGCCGACGAUCAGUAGCCGACCUGAGAGGGUGACCGGCCACAUUGGGACUGAGACACGGCCCAA
rnacentral:rRNA from 1 species